AUUGAACGCUGGCGGCAUGCCUUACACAUGCAAGUCGAACGGCAGCACGGGAGCAAUCCUGGUGGCGAGUGGCGAACGGGUGAGUAAUAUAUCGGAACGUGCCCAGUCGUGGGGAGUAACGUAGCGAAGACUACGCUAAUACCGCAUACGAUCUAUGGAUGAAAGCGGGGGAGUCGCAAGACCUCGCGCGAUUGGAGCGGCCGAUAUCAGAUUAGGUAGUUGGUGAGGUAAAGGCUCACCAAGCCGACGAUCUGUAGCUGGUCUGAGAGGACGACCAGCCACACUGGGACUGAGACACGGCCCAGACUCCUACGGGA
rnacentral:rRNA from 1 species